rnacentral:lncRNA from 1 species
AAACACCUAUGUCUUAAGAAAGAAGUUUAAGGUAACAAAGCUAAAGUAUGAUGUUAUCUUUAGUAUGCUAUGGCUAAAAGCAAAAAAUAAGUAAGUUAAUUAGGUGGUAAGGAUAAUCUCCUUCACAGAUGAUGAACACAAGGUGAUUUUUUGUACCUCCACAUCAAGUGAAGCAAAAAAAUAAUCUGCAACUAAAGACUUACUUAUAGAGACGACCUUUAUGAAGGAGUAAAUACAAUAGAAGUAAUUGAGCUAUAUGGUGGUUCUAAAUCU